AGUCGUAACAAGGUUUCUGUAGGUGAACCUGCAGAAGGAUCAUUAGUGAAAGUUUCGGGCCUGCCAUACGGACGCAAACACGUCUCUGGCGCCCAUCACUAUAUCCAUACCAACCCCUGUGCACUGUGAUGACGAAUGUCAUCGAACAAAAAAAAACUCGUAUGGUUGAAUGUACGUGAAAUUGUAGGUAUAGCCUACGAACUAUACACAACUUUCGACAACGGAUCUCUUGGUUCUCCCAUCGAUGAAGAACGCAGCGAAACGCGAUAGGUAAUGUGAAUUGCAGAAUUCCGUGAAUCAUCGAAUCUUUGAACGCACCUUGCGCUCCAUGGUAUUCCGUGGAGCAUGCCUGUUUGAGUGCCGCGAAUUCUCCCUCCCCUUACGGUGGCCGAAAGGCCGAAGUAGGGCGGACGGGGUAGGAUGGGUGUUUGCUGCCUGGGGAUUGUACCAGGCUCGCCCGAAAUGCAUAAGCGCCAGGACCCUCGCUACCGCUCUCUAGGGAAGAGUGGCUAAGCGACCGCUGAGCAUGGCAUGAUACGUCAUUUGCUGUGUGUGGGCGGCCGGUUGGAGAGGUGUCUGCUUUACCAGCCCUAUUUUAAUUCUGGUCUCAAAUCAGGUAGGAUCACCCGCUGAACCUAAGCA
rnacentral:misc_RNA from 1 species